GUAAAAAUCUAAGGUUUUGGUUUGUUUGUAUUGUUUUGUUUUUGUUUUUUGUUGUUUUAAAAAGUUAGCUCACAGGAGAACAAUCAGACUGAGACUCGAACAGAUUUUAAAGAACUAAUAACAACCCUGAUGAAAGAAAAGUGAUCAAGUUAUCUAAUGCAGCCUCCUGGUGAGCAGACUGACUCUGAGUUUGCAGGAGCAACUGUCUGGCAAACUCCAGCCCUGGGCAGGUGAGCUAAGAACACUUGAGAGAGAAGUAUCCCAAUCCGGGCCAUCUCCAUAGUCCCCAAAGCAAAGAGCAAGGAUUCAUGGUAUUCUUAUUUUCCUAGCUCUUGGAGGAUGGAAGCAGGAGGAGCAAAGUGCUCAAGGUCAUCUUUGGCUACAUCAGUGUGUUUGAGGCCAGGCUGAGCUUUGUAACACCUUAUCUCAGAAAACAAACAUGCAAAGGAAAAUCCCAGAAAACAAACAAAUGAGCCGCAUAGGCACUCACAACUCCUCCAGCAUCCUGACAGGACUGGAGAAAUGUCUUUCCACUUGGACAUCUAUGGCAGGAAAGCUACAGACAGUGAACUUUCACAUUUUGAUGAGCAGAGGGAAAAAUUAAGGAUGUAUCCUGGUGACCACGAAUCAGGUCAGUCAACAUCUGUGCAGCUGCUGGUGGGAGGUUGUGGUAGAAGGCAUUGUGGGAAGCUCUGUGACCAGUGAGACUAAGGAUAGGAAAACAUCCAGUCUGUUAAACUGAAUUUUGGAUUCACAAAUACGGAGUCAAAAAAAAAAAGAAAGAAAAAAAUGAAAAGGAAAAAAGAAAAAAAGAGGUCAGGUUCAGGGCUUUUGGUCUUUCAGUGACUUGAGUGCGGUCCUUGAUCCCUUUGGAGUUGAGUUGUGUUCAGGGUGAGAGAUAUGGAUCUAUUUUCCUUUCUCUGUAUGCUACUAUUCACACCAUCUGUCUGCCAAGAUGCUGACCUUUUCCCCAGUGUGUAAUUUUGUUUGCUUUGUCAAAAACAAGGUGUUUUUACAUGUAUGGAAUUACAUCUGGAUCGGAGUCUUCAAUUCUAUACAUUGACCAAUGUGUCUAUUAUUUCAAUAAUAUGCUUUUUUUUUAUUACUGUAAGCUUUUAAUACAACUUGAAAUCUGGGGAAAAAAAGUUUAAAUCCACUGUAAUGACAUGUAUUCUGUGUUUUUCUACAGUUUACCAUACAAAGUUAUCCCUUCAACCAUUUCCAUGUACAUAAAUAUCAAUAAUUUAUCAAUUAAAUUCAAAUACAUUCAUUUAAUCAAUUUCAGGUUAGUUUACCAAAUCAACUGCAAGACCUCAACUCAAAUAUGAGGGAUGAUUCUACUACAAAAAUCAUAACUUUUAACAACUUAUGGCAUCUAUAAUUUAUUAUUUGAGUAUGUGCUUAGACAAUAUACCCUGUAAACUUAGCUUGGCUUAAAACUCAUGAACAAUAUAAUGUAACAGUUUGAUCCAGUUCUUCCACACAGCGCCAUGCUCCGAGAACUAAGACUCAGACUCAAGAUAUAUUUACAAAUACCUUGACUAUAUAGUGAGGCUCUUCUCUAACUAGAUGAAAAUUUAGAAUAACUGACUUAUUUUAACCUAC